GGGAUCGUGGCGGAAUGGUAGACGCUACGGACUUAAAAUCCGUUGUUCGCAAGAACGUGAGGGUUCGAGUCCCUCCGAUCCCA
rnacentral:tRNA from 1 species